rnacentral:lncRNA from 1 species
CACACCUCAUACGUCACUCCAAAUCAUCAUUAAUUUCUUCUUAAGAGUUCAGAUCUUUUCUAUUUGCUUCCACGGAGAAUUGACUUACGCAUCAAAAGGUCCACUAUCAAGAAACCCUUUAAUGUGAGGAUUUCUUUGUUUUUGAUAGUGUUGUAGGACCUAGCUUGCAGGAUCGGUCAUGAAUCGGGCCCCGACAUACGUGCCUCUCGAAGGUUUCAUCCGGCCAUCCGGAGACCACCACAUCAUCUUUUUGCGACUCCAACUCAACGGCCUAGGC